CUGGCUCAGGAUGAACGCUGGCGGCGUGCCUAACACAUGCAAGUCGAACGGAGUAAUUAAGCGGAAGUCUUCGGAUGGAAGCUCAGCUACUUAGUGGCGGACGGGUGAGUAACGCGUGGGCAACCUGCCCUGUACCGGGGGAUAACACUUAGAAAUAGGUGCUAAUACCGCAUAAGCGCACGGUCUCGCAUGAGACAGUGUGAAAAACUCCGGUGGUACAGGAUGGACCCGCGUCUGAUUAGCUAGUUGGUGGGGUAGAGGCCUACCAAGGCGACGAUCAGUAGCCGGCCUGAGAGGGUGACCGGCCACAUUGGGACUGAGACACGGCCCAAACUCCUACGGGAGGCAGCAGUGGGGAAUACUGCACAAUGGGGGAAACCCUGAUGCCAGCGACGCCGCGUGAGUGAAGAAGUAUUUCGGUAUGUAAAGCUCUAUCAGCAGGGAAGAAAAUGACGGUACCUGACUAAGAAGCCCCGGCUAACUACGUGCCAGCCGCAGC
rnacentral:rRNA from 1 species